rnacentral:rRNA from 1 species
UAAAGAGGUGCGAAACCUGACGGAGCACGCCGCGUGAGGGAUGAGGCCUCUGGGCUGUAAACCUCUUUUAUCAAGGAAGAAGAUCUGACGGUACUUGAUGAAUAAGCCACGGCUAAUUCCGUGCCAGCAGCCGCGGUAAUACGGGAGUGGCAAGCGUUAUCCGGAAUUAUUGGGCGUAAAGCGUCCGCAGGCGGUCUGGCAAGUCUGCUGUUAAAGCGUGGAGCUUAACUCCAUUUCAGCAAUGGAAACUGACAGACUAGAGUGUGGUAGGGGCAGAGGGAAUUCCCGGUGUAGCGGUGAAAUGCGUAGAUAUCGGGAAGAACACCAGUGGCGAAGGCGCUCUGCUGGGCCAUAACUGACGCUCAUGGACAAAAGCCAGGGGAGCGAAAGGGAUUAUAUACCCCUGUAGUCCUGGCCGUAAACGAUGAACACUACGUGUCGGGGGAAUCGACCCCCUCGGUGUCGUACCCAACGCGUUAAGUGUU